rnacentral:tRNA from 1 species
AUUUAUUUAGUUUAUAAAAACAUUACACUUUCUAUGUAAAAUAGAGAUUUUUCUCUUUAAAUA